CCCGUUGAUCGCGAUCUCCCAGCACUCCAUCUGUCCAUGGACCAAAGAAGAAAAUCCAUCUUCUUCCGUCCGACUGCAAGCAUAAUCCCAGCUUCCACGCCUUCCUCUGAGAAAUCCUUGCUUCUCCCUUCUGGAUUCGAGACCCCCUCCUCCGCCUCUGCUUCCGCCCGUGAUGCGGAUGUUAAUCCAUGAUCCCAGCAUCAAGCCGCCCAUCUCAGCCUCCCAUCUCAUCUUCUUCCGUCCGCACGUCAACCUCCCGGAAUCCCAGCGGCCAUCAUCCGGAUCCACGCUCCCAGCAUCCAACUUCUUCCUCCAAGCGAUCUCGCGGCCAGCUCCAUUGAUCCAGCUGUCUGCAAUCAAUCCGGCGCCCUAGAAAUCACACGCCCCCUUCCGGAUUCGAGGCAUCCUCAGCAUCCACGUUCCUCCCAACGAUCCCGCAGCGUCCAGCCGUCCAUGAUCAACGUUCCCAGCAUCUUCCCACCGGAUCCACCUCCCAGCAUCCCCAGCCUCCCGCGAUGCACUCCGAAGCCGUGAUCCCAGCCACCUUCGCACGAUCCAGUCGUCCGCAUCACGGCCAUUUCCUCCUCUGUUUCAGCAUCCCGCAUGACACGCCUUCCUCCCAUCGAUCACGCACCCCGGAAGUUCCCUCUUCCGCAUCUCAUCCCAAGCGUCUGCAAUCGGCCGCCCGUGAUUCCUCCCAAAAUUUCAGCAUCCCGCGACUAUAAGAGGAGGGGAGGAGAGGCAUUCAA
rnacentral:lncRNA from 1 species